UAAAGUUGGAGGCCAUGUUGUGCUCUAAUCAAAAUUUUCGCAUACAUAUUAUAAGGUUGGUGCAACAGAUGCUAACAUCGAGAUGGUUCGUAGAAUCACUUUAUUGAAAGUAACUGUUUGUUUUUCUUUCAUCACUGUCAAACAAAUCCCUUAAGUAUUGUCCUUAAAGAAACUUAAAGGAAAGAAUUGGGCUUGAAAUUCAUUCAAUAUAGUUGGGAAGAUCUACGAAGUAUAAAAAUAAAAGUGAUCAUGGCCGAGGCGCAAGAUACAGACUUGGACAGUUUUGAGACACUAACAAAAGAAGAGAGUAUAGGAGACCAGAUUCAAGAGACUUACGGAAGCGGGAUUAUUUCAGAAAAUUUAAUCCAUUGUGAUACAAGUAAGAUAUCAAGUGACAAUGAAGCUUUUACAAAAAAUAGUUCCUGCAUUGUUUCUAACAAUAAACAAGAAGAUGAAAUACGGAGAUUGGAGAUGCAAAUUAUCGAAAAAAAUGAUGAAAGACGGAGAUUUGAGUUGAAAAUUAGCAAAAUAAACGAUGAAAGACGGAGAUUCGAGUUGCACGUCCGUGAAAUAACAAUGUAAUACAGAGAUUGGAACAAGAACUAAAGAAAUGUAUGGAAAAAGAUCAAAAUGUGCCCGAAAAACGUGUUCAAGUCAAAAAGCGGCCAGAGGGGCAAGAAACAUUACAACAGCAAGCACUAAAAGAAAUUGGAGAACUACAAGAUCCAACAGUAGCUAAUAUGGCGAGAACAGAGGAAUUCAUUAACGAGUUCAUAUGCUUCUUAUGUAAGACGCAGUAGAUGAUCGCCAAACUAUAACUGUCAACAAUUGAAAGUUACGAGAAUUUGCAGAUGUCAUAGAAAAAUCGAGAACAGCAAUUGAUGAUGCUGAUCUUCAAUGUCUGAUGAACUUGAAGAAAAAAUAUGCACAAGUAUUUACGAAAUCUGUAUGUACAAUUUUCAAACAGUUUUCCCUUCAAUCAACCAUUUAAAUAAACUCGCUUUUAAGGUUGAAUGUCAACAUGUAGUGUUAUUUCGCUUGUGAUUUAAUGUAUAGAAUUUUUCACUGGAAAAAUGUACUUGGGCAAUUAUGAGCAGAAGAUUCUCCGGUUCCAUUCCCCUCAAAACUACAAAUUCUUGUUGCAGAUAGUGUAUUUUUAAACCGAAAAAUUUGCAGAAGAUCAAGAGAGAAGGGCUUGCACACGAACCAGGUACAAACAGUAAGAGCACAAUCUUUACUCCUUCAUCUUUGAUGUCAAAAAUAUCAUUUUGGAAAAACUCGAAAGAGAAACGGCUUGGUUCUAA